GACCGCUCCAGCGGUUAGAGCGUCUGCCUCGGAUGUGGGAGGUCAUGGGUUCGAACCCCAGCCAAGUCA